GAGUUUGAUCCUGGCUCAGAUUGAACGCUGGCGGCAUGCCUUACACAUGCAAGUCGAACGGCAGCACGGGAGCUUGCUCCUGGUGGCGAGUGGCGAACGGGUGAGUAAUGCAUCGGAACGUAUCCUGGAGUGGGGGAUAACGUAGCGAAAGUUACGCUAAUACCGCAUAUUCUGUGAGCAGGAAAGCGGGGGACCUUCGGGCCUCGCGCUCUUGGAGCGGCCGAUGUCGGAUUAGCUAGUUGGUGGAGGUAA
rnacentral:rRNA from 1 species